rnacentral:rRNA from 1 species
UACGUAGGUGGCAAGCGUUGUCCGGAUUCACUGGGCGUAAAGCGCGCGCAGGCGGUCUUCUACGUCUGGGGUGAAAACCCGGGGCUCAACCCCCGGGACUGCCUUGGAUACGGGAAGACUUGAGGAUCGGAGAGGCAAGGGGAAUUCCACGUGUAGCGGUGAAAUGCGUAGAGAUGUGGAGGAACACCUGUGGCGAAGGCGCCUUGCUGGCCGAUUUCUGACGCUGAGGCGCGAAAGCGUGGGGAGCAAACAGG